GGCUCCAUAGUGUAGUGGUUAACACAUCUGUUUUACAAGCGGAAAGUCCUGGGUUCACAUUCCAGAUAGAGCCA
rnacentral:tRNA from 1 species